AUCUGAGCCAUUUCAGUCACUGGACUAAGCUUUGGAUGAAGGGAGAGGGAAGAAACAUUUACUGAGCACUUGCCGUGUGGUCGGCUCUAUGACAGCCACUGCACAAGUGUGGUCUCAUUUACCACCACCUAACAAUGUCUCAUGGAAGCAGGUGUAAUUAUCCCACCAUUCGGAUGAUGGAUUUGGGGAUCAGUCUUGUGACUCUCCAAAUGCUGCAUGGCUGGUACGUGCAUUCAAGAAUGCCGAUGUGACUUGCCAGUGAUUGAUUUGGGGAGAUGAUCAGUCUUUGUCACUAACAGUGAACAAAACUCCUAACUGAUAUAUCCUACCUUUAAAUGGAAUGUGGAAACUGACACUGGAAGGCAUCCAAUAAGCACAUUUGCUCUUGCCUCCACCCACCGUCUUUCCUUACAG